CUCGUAGGUGGCCAUCUAAGUCAGACGUGAAAUCCCUCGGCUCAACCGGGGAACUGCGUCUGAUACUGGGCGGCUUGAAUUCGGGAGAGGGACGUGGAAUUCCAGGUGUAGCGGUGAAAUGCGUAGAUAUCUGGAGGAACACCGGUGGCGAAGGCGGCGUCCUGGACCGAUAUUGACACUGAGGAGCGAAAGCCAGGGGAGCAAACG
rnacentral:rRNA from 1 species